rnacentral:rRNA from 1 species
CUAAUACAUGCAAGUCGAGCGGACAGAUGGGAGCUUGCUCCCUGAUGUUAGCGGCGGACGGGUGAGUAACACGUGGGUAACCUGCCUGUAAGACUGGGAUAACUCCGGGAAACCGGGGCUAAUACCGGAUGGUUGUUUGAACCGCAUGGUUCAAACAUAAAAGGUGGCUUCGGCUACCACUUACAGAUGGACCCGCGGCGCAUUAGCUAGUUGGUGAGGUAACGGCUCACCAAGGCAACGAUGCGUAGCCGACCUGAGAGGGUGAUCGGCCACACUGGGACUGAGACACGGCCCAGACUCCUACGGGAGGCAGCAGUAGGGAAUCUUCCGCAAUGGACGAAAGUCUGACGGAGCAACGCCGCGUGAGUGAUGAAGGUUUUCGGAUCGUAAAGCUCUGUUGUUAGGGAAGAACAAGUACCGUUCGAAUAGGGCGGUACCUUGACGGUACCUAACCAGAAAGCCACGGCUAACUACGUGCCAGCAGCCGCGGUAAUACGUAGGUGGCAAGCGUUGUCCGGAAUUAUUGGGCGUAAAGGGCUCGCAGGCGGUUUCUUAAGUCUGAUGUGAAAGCCCCCGGCUCAACCGGGGAGGGUCAUUGGAAACUGGGGAACUUGAGUGCAGAAGAGGAGAGUGGAAUUCCACGUGUAGCGGUGAAAUGCGUAGAGAUGUGGAGGAACACCAGUGGCGAAGGCGACUCUCUGGUCUGUAACUGACGCUGAGGAGCGAAAGCGGCCCCC